rnacentral:misc_RNA from 1 species
ACACCCUUCAAGCCCUGCUUGGUGUUGGGCGUCUGUCCUCUAGCGACUACCGCGUGGACUCGCCUCAAAGGCAUUGGCAGCGGUCCUGCCGGGCUUCCUAAUCGCGCAGCACUGUUCGCGCUUCCUGGAAGCCCGCUCGGAUUCGACGUCCAUCAAGCCCAAUCUUCUGA